AUCUCCAUACGCCCAGUACACUGCUGCUGCUGCAGAUGGAAGCUUCAAUGUCAGCACACAAAGAAUUGGAACGUAGGAGUAACACAAUAGUGAGGUACCAGGCCGUGUACGUGGUCAUUAACAAGCCGAGGAACGACCAAUUCGGUAGUUGGGGAAAGAAGGCAGGAAUAAAGUAGUUGCACAACAUGCUCCAAAGAUGUAAGUCCAAGUUCUUUUGUCCAAAUUGUCAUUUAUGCAAUAUAUGUUAUUGAAUCACAAAGAAAAUGUUAGUUUUUUAUUUUUUGGUGCCUUAUUUAUGUGUCAAAAGACUAAAUAUUUAUGCCUUGCACAAGCUAUGAGCACAGAUCCAAACAGAAGAAAAGUGCAGUUAAAUGCCAAUCCUAUAUUUCUCCAGUGUUUUCCAAGAAGCCCAUCAAGAACUUCGAGCCACUGUAUCAACGUGUUCGGUGUACAGUAUUAGAUUGGAUCGAGACAGUGUAAUAACAACAUAAAAACUAAGAAAAUUGAAAACCUGAAUAACAUGAUUUCUAAAAUCAACUUUUUCUCUUUCUUUACUGGUUCUGUACCCUACAUAGAGAACACUAAUAAUAUGUGCAGCCCAACUGCCCAUUAAACCAUAAAAGAGCUGAAAAAGAAUCCCAGAGAGCAUUCCCAGAUGAGAAAAUGAGUAUGGUAAAGUGAACUGCACUUGAGCCACCUGAAAGCGUACAAG